rnacentral:snRNA from 1 species
AAGUUCCCUGGAAAGGGG